rnacentral:misc_RNA from 1 species
CACCUGCCCACUACUGGCUUCAGCCUCUCCAACAACCAGAAUAUAGUUAUAUUGUGCCACUUGAGCCUCUCGUACCUUUUUCUGAAUUGUCCUGUCACUUGUAUCAACAUCAACGUAAUAACCAGCAUCAUGUAUCUGCUCCCGGAGCUUAAGUGCAUAUGACUGCGAUUUGUCAGAAACAGGGCAGACCAUAGCUUGACGUGGACUAAGCCAGAAAG